rnacentral:rRNA from 1 species
AGCUUGCUCUCGGGUGACGAGUGGCGGACGGGUGAGUAAUGUCUGGGAAACUGCCUGAUGGAGGGGGAUAACUACUGGAAACGGUAGCUAAUACCGCAUAACGUCGCAAGACCAAAGAGGGGGACCUUCGGGCCUCUUGCCAUCAGAUGUGCCCAGAUGGGAUUAGCUAGUAGGUGGGGUAACGGCUCACCUAGGCGACGAUCCCUAGCUGGUCUGAGAGGAUGACCAGCCACACUGGAACUGAGACACGGUCCAGACUCCUACGGGAGGCAGCAGUGGGGAAUAUUGCACAAUGGGCGCAAGCCUGAUGCAGCCAUGCCGCGUGUAUGAAGAAGGCCUUCGGGUUGUAAAGUACUUUCAGCGGGGAGGAAGGUGCUGAGGUUAAUAACCUUGUCGAUUGACGUUACCCGCAGAAGAAGCACCGGCUAACUCCGUGCCAGCAGCCGCGGUAAUACGGAGGGUGCAAGCGUUAAUCGGAAUUACUGGGCGUAAA